CAAUAGCUCACCUCUGUUUCAUCUCAGAAUUUCAUUUUAAUAGCUUCAAGUCCUUCUUGCUCUUCUUGCCUUGCUCCCCAAAGCCAUGUCUCUUACACCAGUGAUGUUUAGGUCACUGAUGAGGCUACUAACAUCUCUAAUUGGAGAGCCAGCUGCUUCAGUCUCAACCUUGCUUUACUACAGUGAGCUUCUGCCUCAGAAUAUCAUCUUGGAAAGAUUAGUUCGACAUGAAUUGCUCGAUCGAGAAAACUAUUUGUUCCAUUUCCUCAUCAACUUCUUGAGAUGUUUUUGGUAGGUAGGAACCAACAACCAUAUAGACAACAAUAGACUCAGUAUUUCCCAUAGCAGAGUCGACUUUAUUUCUUAUGCAUUUUUGUAAACCAUUAUUUCUUGGUGGCUGACUGGUGAGAGUUUAAAUUGUAAAAUCUGUGAUUUGUGAUCAUAAUGAGAUAUAUUUCACAGUUUUUUUU